GCGGCCCCUUCGGUAUUUCUCAAUGACUGGCGCCGCAAGGACACUUCCGACGCGGGCGCGAGAGGUGUCAUUAGCGCUCUGUUUAUCAGUUCCUUCCGGUCUGUCCGGCUGGCCCCGCGCGCGGGCGGCGCGGCCACCACGCCCGGGGCGCGCUGCUGCCUCUGCGAUGACGCCCAGAGAGCGGCGCGUGUGCCGCCGUGUGCCAAGCGAGUUUACAGCACGGCUGUCUCCCCUCCCCCAACCCGCUGGCAGCCGUGGAAACCCAAGCCGCCUGGCCGUGAAGCGGAUGAUGCAAACGCAGAGGGUGACCCUGCCGGCGCCCGCCCGGAGUAGGGCGCGGCGUCCCCGCGGGCAUGAAUGGCCGGGCGCGCUUGCACAACGCGCGGCGUAAAUAGCCGGGGGCGACCGCGCAGCGCUCCGAGACCGUUACGGCGCGGGGCUCGGGCUCCGCGGCUCACGCUCUGGAGCUCCUCCCGCUCCCCCGGGGACCGGGAUUUGAGGCGGCCGAGGGGAACAGCCCUGCCCCGCCCCCUCCUGCCCUAAAUUCCUCUUGUCCAGUGAAUGAAGCGUCAGCCCCGCCGCGCGCUGAGGUCUCCACUGCAGGUCAGGUGGGGAUGGGUCACACCUCGCUAGAGCCGCCAGGGCAGGAAGCUGUCCUGGACCUGAAGAGUUGGGCGUCAGAUGGAGGCGUGAGUGCGGCUGUGCGACAGCUCUGUGGGACCUCAGCUCUGAGACCCUCUCACCAGCCUGGACAGGGGGAGAGAAGACAGCCUCCAGGGAGACGCAGCAGGCAGGUCUCUCCUUGGUACAGAGCUUUCCCGGCUUCAUCAUCACAGAGGGCACUAAGAAUAUUCCAGGCAGAGCCUGUUUUAAUGAAUGAAGGACGGAGGCCUAAGGAGGUUACACGAUCGUCAUGAUUGUAGGGCCAUGGUGCCAGGCUAAUCUGCUUAGAGCCUCGAGAUCCAGGCUCUGCUAGGUGGAGGGAGAGGGGCUCCUCCCGAGUGCAUCCAGGUGUGCUCUCCGCUCUCUCCCCACAGGAUGGGGCAGGUGGGGAUGCUCCUGGGAGCCCCGGAGAACUGAGAAGAGCUGCCGUGCAGAGCUUUCCUCAGGCCGGGCCAGGAAGCCGUGGAGAGGCUGUAAUAGGUUCCUUCUCUCUCUUCCCUCCCAUGUGGAAACUGGGUCAAAAAACAAAGCUAAUGGAAUUGGCACCAAAUAUCCGAUUUCUAGCUCUGUCCUUGGCCUGAGUGGUCCCGCUUAAGGAAUGCUUGGGGAAGAGGACAUCAAGGAGACAAGGGCUUUGUUUGUUUUGUUUUUUGUAUUUUUAGGAAAGGAUCUACUGG